GGCCUACAAAUCCGAAAACUUAGACGGCAUGAAAAUUCUUCGAAUUUGAAACAUCGAGAAUCUACGGAUAUAUUACCAAUAAAAAUAUCUUGUCAAUAAAAGGUCCUCUUUUCUACAAUUCUGUGUGAAAUAGUCCGAGUACUCAGUAUUACACCUCGUCGGCUAGUACCUGAGGAAAUGUUAUUCGGCUAGUACUCAGUCCAAAAAGGUCCAGCAAACACAAGCGUGCUUGCCACGACCGUAGGAGUUUAAGCUACAGUUUGCACGUAAGACCUAGGUAAAAAAAUUAUGGUUAGUCGGCUUGCUACCUAUUGACCAAAGACCAAUCGGUUCAAAAUAAAAUAGAGUGGUUAUUCAGCUUGCCACCGAUUGACCAAGGAUCAAUUGAUCCAAAAUCAACUAAGUUCCAAUCCGACAGAACAGUCUAUGAUGAAUGAUCUACAGCUAUAACUCGAAUCCACCUAAGACAAUCUACAAGACCGACUAUGAGACUUAGAAAUUUUCUUAAGUCUGUUCGUUCGAUUAUGGUUUGCUUGACUUGCCACCCCUGAUUGCUUUAAUCUUCCGACUACGUUACCUAGUCAUUUUUACAGGAAGGCAACUCAAAGAGUAAAAAAAGAAGGCAUGCAAGCAAACACAAAAACAAGUCGGAUAUGCGAGGAAAAUCACUUCAUUACCAAAAAAGAGUUCAUUACAAAAGGCAUUCAUUACAAAGUUCAUUACAAAAAGCAGAGAGCCCAAGGGGCCGAAGGAUGAUCUUCUUCAGCAUCUGUCUCUUCAUUGCUUCUGACUCUUUGUCGGCCCGAAUUUUGCUCAGAUCCAGCUUGGGCUGCAGUCGGCCGUGGCCUUCUUACAAUCGUCAAACCCGAGCUGAUAUGCAUCCACAGAGGCAUCGGUGAGUUCCUCAUCAUACUCCUUAGACUUGUGAAACUAAGCCAAUGUCCGAGAAGCUAUCUCCUGGGCCUGAGUCUCUGCUGCUGACAAACUCUACUUUAGCUCCUUGACAGCCUUCUCGGCCUCCUGUUGUCUGCCCUUUUCUCUGUCGAGGGUGCUCUCUAUCGACUCCUUUUUCUUUUGAUAAUCGACCUUUAGCUUCUCAAAAUCCUCCCUCUUUCUGGGAGUCAGCCCUCAGCUUUUCGAACUCCACCUUGUCUUUCUCCCGCUGGGCCUCCGAGGAUGCCAACUCGAUCUCCAGCAAAAAAAAUUUCUCCCGACUCUUCCUCUCCCGCUCCUUAGCAAUGUGGAAAAGCUCGUCAGCGACUUCGACCCGAGCAUGUGCAGUCUGGGCCUUGUCUUUAAUUCACACGGCUCAACACCUCAUACAAAACUAUCACAUCGUGCAUCAUCUGCAAAAAAAAAUCAAUUAAGCCAUUUAGUCGGUCUAGCACUAUUCUGGGAAUAUACCGGAGGAAGGCGGACGGAGACUUACCAAUAGCAACGACGUGUAAGAGCCUGACAAAAUCUCCACAACUAAGUGGGCCUUCUUGACUUUUCAAUCCGUGGGCAGCAUCACCAUCUUCACUAGCUCCUCGAUAAGCCAGCGAUCCUAGAGCGCUUGAUCAGUCGUCUUAAUGCACAACCCCAAGGUGAUGGUGGCCUCUCCAAAAGGAGUGUCCAGACCAUAGUCGACAGUGAAGGCAGGGGCCUUCCCCUCAUCGGCAAGGGCCUUCUCCUUGUCGACACUUUUUUGACUAAGCACCCGAUCACCACUCAUCCCUGUCUUGGCCGACAUGGCCUGGAUCGCUUCUACCGACCUAGCCGGGGGAUCGACGACAACAACGUCAUCAUCCAUGACAACAACGGUGGGGAUCAUGACGUCAGUGAUGAAAGGUGGUGGCAAAGAUCACUCUGACGAUGGUUGGGGUAGCAAUGCCCGCUACGUGCUCCUUGGCAUCCCAAAAGGAAACCCUUCUCUCGACUUCUUUAGUGGCCGAGAGGGACUGUCGGGCCCGAACACCGUCUUCUUCUUUCUCUUGACGGCCUGCCAGAGGGACUCUGACGUAACUCUCAUGCCUGUAAGACGACAACAGAGACUAGUUAGUCCAUCGAGAAAAGAAGGAAAGAAAGGAAAGCCAUAGUGAUCUACAAGAAAAGAACCUAGGUGAUUGGUCGGGCUUAUCCCAGCAUUGUACAAUGACUGUUCCUCUAGGAGCUUCCACUGCGUAGGGACCAAGACGUCGAACAGCGUACUGCUCUCGAUGUUCAGCCAGAACCACAUCAUUC
rnacentral:lncRNA from 1 species